rnacentral:rRNA from 1 species
CAGGCUUAACACAUGCAAGUCGAGGGGCAGCAUGGUCUUAGCUUGCUAAGGCCGAUGGCGACCGGCGCACGGGUGAGUAACGCGUAUCCAACCUGCCUUACACUCUUGGACAGCCUUCUGAAAGGGAGAUUAAUACAAGAUGUUAUCAUGAGUAAGCAUUUUCGCAUGAUUAAAGGUUUACCGGUGUAAGAUGGGGAUGCGUUCCAUUAGAUAGUAGGCGGGGUAACGGCCCACCUAGUCUUCGAUGGAUAGGGGUUCUGAGAGGAAGGUCCCCCACAUUGGAACUGAGACACGGUCCAAACUCCUACGGGAGGCAGCAGUGAGGAAUAUUGGUCAAUGGACGAGAGUCUGAACCAGCCAAGUAGCGUGAAGGAUGAAGGUUCUAUGGAUUGUAAACUUCUUUUAUACGGGAAUAAACGAAUCCACGUGUGGAUUUUUGCAUGUACCGUAUGAAUAAGGAUCGGCUAACUCCGUGCCAGCAGCCGCGGUAAUACGGAGGAUCCGAGCGUUAUCCGGAUUUAUUGGGUUUAAAGGGAGCGUAGAUGGGUUGUUAAGUCAGUUGUGAAGGUUUGCGGCUCAACCGUAAAAUUGCAAUUGAUACUGGCAGUCUUGAGUACAGUUGAGGUAGGCGGAAUUCGUGGUGUAGCGGUGAAAUGCUUAGAUAUCACGAAGAACUCCGAUUGCGAAGGCAGCUUACUAACCUGUAACUGACAUUGAUGCUCGAAAGUGUGGGUAUCAAACAGGAUUAGAUACCCUGGUAGUCCACACGGUAAACGAUGAAUACUCGCUGUAGGCGAUAUACAGUCUGCGGCCAAGCGAAAGCAUUAAGUAUUCCACCUGGGGAGUACGCCGGCAACGGUGAAACUCAAAGGAAUUGACGGGGGCCCGCACAAGCGGAGGAACAUGUGGUUUAAUUCGAUGAUACGCGAGGAACCUUACCCGGGCUUAAAUUGCAACCGAAUAUGGCGGAAACGCUAUAGCUAGCAAUAGCGGUUGUGAAGGUGCUGCAUGGUUGUCAUCAGCUCGUGCCGUGAGGUGUCGGCUUAAGUGCCAUAACGAGCGCAACCCUUGCCGAUAGUUACUAACAGGUCAUGCUGAGGACUCUGUCGGGACUGCCAUCGUAAGAUGUGAGGAAGGUGGGGAUGACGUCAAAUCAGCACGGCCCUUACGUCCGGGGCUACACACGUGUUACAAUGGGGGGUACAGAGGGCUGCUACCACGCAAGUGGAUGCCAAUCCCAAAAACCUCUCUCAGUUCGGAUUGAAGUCUGCAACCCGACUUCAUGAAGCUGGAUUCGCUAGUAAUCGCGCAUCAGCCACGGCGCGGUGAAUACGUUCCCGGGCCUUGUACACACCGCCCGUCAAGCCAUGGGAGCCGGGGGUACCUGAAGUGCGUAACCGCAAGGAGCGCCCUAGGGUAAAACUGGUGACUGGGGCUAAG